rnacentral:rRNA from 1 species
UGAAAUCUGGCUCUCGGGCCCGAGUUGUAAUUUGUAGAGGAUGCUUUUGGUGCGGUGCCUUCCGAGUUCCCUGGAACGGGACGCCAUAGAGGGUGAGAGCCCCGUCUGGUUGGAUGCCAAUCCUCUGUAAAGCUCCUUCGACGAGUCGAGUAGUUUGGGAAUGCUGCUCUAAAUGGGAGGUAUAUGUCUUCUAAAGCUAAAUACCGGCCAGAGACCGAUAGCGCACAAGUAGAGUGAUCGAAAGAUGAAAAGCACUUUGAAAAGAGAGUUAAAAAGUACGUGAAAUUGUUGAAAGGGAAGCGUUUAUGACCAGACUUGGGCUUGGUUAAUCAUCCAGGGUUCUCCCUGGUGCACUUUUCCAGUCCAGGCCAGCAUCAGUUUGCUUCGGGGGAUAAAGGCUUCGGGAAUGUGGCUCCUCUCGGGGAGUGUU